AUAUGCCACAGCGUGUGUAUCUCCCGAUCCGAAACAAUAACAACAACAGAAAAAGAGCCCACAUUUCCUUCUAUUUCCUGGCUUGCCAAUAAUAAGAAGUCCCUGCAGAGUGGAGCUUGGCUGGUGGUGUUUUGUGAUUUCUCAGAUAACAAGAGCUUCACAUUUCUGUGGAAUUCCCAUUUGCCAGUGAGCUGCUGCUGCCGCUGCCCUGAUUGAUAUAUGACUGCAAUGGCACUUUUCCAUUUGACAUUCCCUCUCUCUCUCUCUCUCUCCCUCUCCCUCUCUCUCCUAAACAACAGCUCUAACUUUUGUGUGUUGCAAAUAUAAAAGGCAAGCCAUGUGACGGAGGGACAGAAGAACAAAAGCAUUUGGAAGUAACAGGACCUCUUUUUAGCUCUCUGAAGAGUUCGAGGGGAGGAAGGAGCAGUGCAUUUCCCAAAGGCAUCUUUUUGGUCAGGAUUGUGAUUUAUGCUGGUUUUAUCCCAGCUACACAGGAGAUUCUUUGAUGGAUUACAAUCUCAGCAAACUCUAACUAGAGGAGAAGAAUGACAGCGAAGAGGCUUAAACCAGACUUUUCACUCUCCUGGAAAGGAACGGGCUGUCAGUAUUUGGAGUUUUUUUAAUGCUCUACCUCCCUCUGCUGUUAUCAGCGAGAAGUUCCUCGACAAUGGGAAAUCAAGUACUUGCGGCUUCGAUUUCCAUGCUCUCUCUCCUGGCCAUGAUGGGAGACUCGGACAGUAAAACAGACAGCUCCUUCAUGAUUGACUCCGACCCCAGCCGCUGUAUGAGGCAUCACUAUGUCGACUCCAUCAGCCACCCCCUCUACAAGUGUAGCUCGAAGAUGGUACUGCUGGCUCGCUGCGAAGGGCGCUGCAGCCAGACAUCACGCUCGGAGCCAAUGGUUUCUUUCAGCACCGUCCUGAAGCAGCCUUUCCGCUCCACCUGCCACUGCUGCAGGCCUCAGACCUCCAAGCUGAAAGCCAUGAGGUUGCGAUGCUCAGGGGGCAUGCGGCUCACAGCCACCUACCGCUACAUCCUCUCCUGCCACUGUGAGGAGUGCAACUCCUAGGGGUGUAUGUGCCACAGCAGAGAGGGGGUUGGGAUGCUGCUGUUGAGGAAGGCUCCCAAGAAAUAGUCCAAGGCUCAACAAUGACCUCAGAGAGGUGCUUUUACUUUAGGCCAAGGGCAGCAAGGGAAAAGAGUGGAAGGACAGCUGGAUGACAGCACCACGCCCUGGAAGGUGGCAUUCAGACAGAGGAUGGGCAUCAGUUCCAACACACAACCUCUUAACACUAUGAAUUUUAUUCUCAGUCUUCUAGUAAUAUUGGCCUUCAAAACAAACUGUGUUGCUGGCAGGGUUUUCUGUUACUGACCUAGCAGCCAAGUGCUGGAUAACUUUAAUUGUGGUUCAUCAGAAAUUACAAAUAAAUCAUUGAAAAUUGAACUGGAUAUGAAAUGUCACGCUGGGAUUACGCAGCCCCAGCCAGCCAAAAUGAUUAUUUGCAGUGUGUGGCAUUACAGACCAGUGAUUGAGUGACUCUCGAGAAGUGAAAGGUCACAAGACUCAUCAUUCCCUUCAAAAAGCCUGGAAAUGUGACACAUCUCAUCUGUCACAAAAGCCAUUACUCAAAUGCUAAAAGCUAAUCAAAGAUUAAAAUGACACAUACUAAAUGGAGUCUUUUCUUAAGUUGGGUAGAACUGUGGAUGUACCGAGCCAGGGCCACCAAAAUAAUCACCAAACCUAGGACUUAUUUUCAUCUACAGAUUUUAGGUCAUUGAGUGAGUACCGUUUUGCUUUUUAAAGACCAACAAUGCCAAAAACAGGGGGAUUAAGCUGACAUGCCCAUAGGAAGGUCAAGCCAGAGUCCUAGCAUUAUCCACUCAGCCACAGAGGCUGUGUGUCAAUUUGCCUAAUGAUCUGCUACCUGGGAUCCCAGGUGAUUCACCAUUCAGCUUGGCAGCUGCUUGGAGAAUAGCUUAGCUCUUGGCUGGUCCCUACACUGACACAUCCUUUGUGCACGCAUAAGGAUGUAGGAGUCUCUGGUGA